rnacentral:lncRNA from 1 species
UUACAUUCAAUAAAGUUUGAAAAAAAAAAGUAGUGAGCGCGUGCUGCGUGGUGCUCGGCAGUGAAAGCCGCACGCGCGCAGGCGGGAGAGAAGGAGAAGUGAUCAAAGGUUUCCCAUAGAAACCCUUGAAGUCUGAACACAGGACUAGCAGAAAAACUAAAUUAUGAAGAUGAGGACCGGGCCAGCGGACAAAUGGCUAUGUCGAGCCCUGGAAAUUUAUCUCCAAAGGAACUUAAAUUUAAACCACCAACUAUGCAAGUGACUGAGAGGCAAACGUAGCCCACUAACUUACAUCUUUGACACGUGCACCCAAACAGGGGUCACCCUGUACAGGUUCUGCAGGUUUUUGGUGGUCUGGGUCAGUGUAGGGUCAUAGAGGGGAGCGACUUCAUCUUAAGGGGAGCGCGGGUGUGAUUCCCAGCUUCCUAGAGGCAAGCAUGGGAAUCUUAAGGAACAUCAUGAAAAUUGGAACGUACUAUUGUUGUGCGUGUGGUAAGUGAAGUGUUCGUAAUGAUAAUGGAAGUUACACGUACUGAUGAUGUAUGGGUGAUGCUGAUGUACAGUGUCCAUACAGCACACUGUAGUCAUAAAUGAGGUGUGAGUUCCUUGCUGACUGCACGUAAAUAUCGCACACAAGGGGUGUGCAGGUGAUACAGGUGAUGGCCACACAAAUUACACACUGAUUGUCUAAUUUAGUCAUUUCUAACAUCAGGUUUCAUGCAAGGAGCGCAUGCAUCACUUGUUUCCAGGUUUAAGGGGAACUUAAAAAAGGAAACAUUUGUUUGACACACCUGCAUUUCACCUACUUCCCCUGUUGGCUACAACCUAUUGCCUGUAGCACGCGCAUAGAAAAAGCUCCACUGAGCGGUCUAUGACUUUCAUGUUUUGUGUCUGUGUGCCGUGUACAGGUUUGCCCAUUUUGAACCUGCAAACGGCCCGUAUCCACCCCUAAGGCCAGUUGAGACUAAGGCUUUACCGGUCCCCCCAGGAGGCUCAUUCAGAUGCCAUAAAUAAAAGAAAUCAAUGGCGGCUGAAACCGUUUUUGUAGCCAAGUCGAGGUAAAAAGAAAAAAAACAAAAAAAUGCUUUAAAAGUUACCUUCUGUAGCAGGAUCUUGUGAUCGUUCUGAGCGCCCCCUUAAGGGCAGACCUCAGACUACAGCAUCAAACUGAUGGGUCGCAGCCUCAACAAAAACGCAUUGAUCAG